GCUGGUGUAGCUCAGUGGAUAGAGCAUCGGCCUGCGGACUGAAGGGUCCCUGGUUCGAUUCCGGCCAAGGGCA
rnacentral:tRNA from 1 species